UCCCUGGUGGUCCUGUGGUUAGGACGCAGCACUUUUACUGCUAUGGCCUAGGUUCAGUCACUGGUUUGGGAA
rfam:Sus scrofa isolate TJ Tabasco breed Duroc chromosome 13, whole genome shotgun sequence.